UACGUAGGUGACAAGCGUUGUCCGGAUUUACUGGGCGUAAAGAGCGCGCAGGCGGUCGUUCAAGUCGAGUGUGAAAGCCCCCGGCUCAACUGGGGAAGGUCACGCGAUACUGAUCGACUCGAAGGCAGGAGAGGGAAGUGGAAUUCCCGGUGUAGUGGUGAAAUGCGUAGAUAUCGGGAGGAACACCAGUGGCGAAGGCGACUUCCUGGCCUGUUCUUGACGCUGAGGCGCGAAAGCUAGGGGAGCAAACGGG
rnacentral:rRNA from 1 species